rnacentral:tRNA from 1 species
CUCCCCGUAGCGUAAUGGAUAGCACGUUGGACUUCUGAUCUAAAGGUCGUGGGUUCAAAUCCCACCUGGGAGG